CCAGACUCCUACGGGAGGCAGCAGUGGGGGAUAUUGCACAAUGGGGGAAACCCUGAUGCAGCGACGCCGCGUGGGCGAAGAAGUAUUUCGGUAUGUAAAGCCCUAUCAGCAGGGAAGAAGAAAUGACGGUACCUGAGUAAGAAGCACCGGCUAAAUACGUGCCAGCAGCCGCGGUAAUACGUAUGGUGCAAGCGUUAUCCGGAUUUACUGGGUGUAAAGGGAGCGCAGGCGGCACGGCAAGCCUGAUGUGAAGGCCCGCGGCCCAACCGCGGGACUGCAUUGGGAACUACCGGGCUGGAGUGCCGGAGAGGUAGGCGGAAUUCCUAGUGUAGCGGUGAAAUGCGUAGAUAUCAGGAGGAACACCGGUGGCGAAGGCGGCCUGCUGGACUGCAACUGACGUUGAGGCCCGAAAGCGUGGGGAGCAAACAGGAUUAGAUACCCUGGUA
rnacentral:rRNA from 1 species